CGGAGAACAACAUAUGAAGGAAGGUAAAGAAUAUGUCAUUGAAACAUACUACCCUGACAAGCGAAUAAAAUACAUUUCAAUAGUAGGUUUUCCAGGUGAUACAUACAGAGCUGAGCGAGCAGUCGGGGCCCUGAUUGAAGGAGAUCUCUUCAAUGCAGACAGAAAUACAUACGAUGAAAGCACUGACAGGAAA